UACGUAGGGUCCGAGCGUUGUCCGGAAUUAUUGGGCGUAAAGAGCUCGUAGGCGGUUUGUCGCGUCUGCUGUGAAAUCCCGAGGCUCAACCUCGGGUCUGCAGUGGGUACGGGCAGACUGGAGUGCGGUAGGGGAGAAUGGAAUUCCUGGUGUAGCGGUGGAAUGCGCAGAUAUCAGGAGGAACACCGAUGGCGAAGGCGGGUCUCUGGGCCGAUACUGACGCUGAGGAGCGAAAGCGUGGGGAGCGAACAGG
rnacentral:rRNA from 1 species